rnacentral:misc_RNA from 1 species
AACGCACAUUGCGCCCGCCAGCACUCUGGCGGGCAUGCCUGUCCGAGCGUCAUUUCAACCCUCGAGCCCCGCUCGGUGUUGGGGGGCCGUCCACAGCCGCUGUGGCCCCCGAAACUCAGUGGCGGGCUCGCCGCGGAUCCCAGGCGCAGUAGCGCAUCUCGCCUGGGGGCAGCGGCGGGCGCCUGCCGGCCAAGCAAGACGCGUGCCGUCUCCUAAUGAGGUUGACCUCGGAUCAGGUAGGAAUACCCGCUGAACUUAA